rnacentral:lncRNA from 1 species
AUGGCACAGUGUAAAACUGAGCACCAGUCACAGCCCACGAACCCAGCCCUACCCACACUGGUGUUUUACCACCACAACCCGGGCCGCCUGCUUAGACCCGGAGCUGCACUUUUGCCUCCCUGCCCUGGAGUUGCAGGCGCACGUCCACUCCUGCCUUCCUUCCUGCUGCCUGGGGCCCCUGGCCCGCCCACUCAGCUUCCCUUCUUCUGCCAGGGUCCUGGCUCCAGGAGGUACCUGCCUCUCCUGCCCCCAUGGAUAAGCACACAAGCCCCUCUCAUGCUCCUGUGCUUUCUCUUCUCCACGUUAUCACCACUGCAACCAGAUGUCUCCAUGGCAGUGCUCUGAGGUCUCUCUCCUCUCAAUCCCAAGGUCAAUGAAGGUAGGAGGCACAUCUGCAGUGUCUACCACUCUAUCCCCCAGGCCAUCACGUUGACUGAGGUCUUGAGGGACUUCAUAAUAUUUGUGGCAUGAAUGAAUCUGUAACCACAGGAAUAAUCAUCCCUUAAAAGUCAAAUUGCAAUAAAAGAAAGCAAUUU